GCGGUAGUAGUUCAAUGGUAGAAUGCUUCCUUCCCAAGGAAGAGGUUGAGGGUUCGAGACCCUUCUACCGCU
rnacentral:tRNA from 1 species